rnacentral:rRNA from 1 species
CAAUAGCGUAUAUUAAAGUUGUUGCAGUUAAAAAGCUCGUAGUUGGAUUUGUGGCGUACGGUGUGUUCCGGGCACUUGUUGUCUGAGUAACCUGCUGCUGCCAUCCUUGGGUGGAACCUGUGUGGCAUUAGGUUGUCGUGCAGGGGAUGCCCAUCAUUUACUGUGAAAAAAUUAGAGUGUUCAAAGCAGGCUUAUGCCGUUGAAUAUAUUAGCAUGGAAUAAUGAGAUAGGACUUUUUUGCUAUUUUGUUGGUUUGCGCAAAGAGGUAAUGAUUAAUAGGGACAGUUGGGGGUAUUCGUAUUCCAUUGUCAGAGGUGAAAUUCUUGGAUUUUUGGAAGACGAACUACUGCGAAAGCAUUUACCAAGGAUGUUUUCAUUGA